GUUGUGGUGUCUGCUGCACUGCUUGGAGUCCUCAGGAAGCGCUAGGAGCAUCCGUCAACGGAGGGUACUCAGUCGGAGUACAAGGAGCUCCGUUACAUUGGUGGCAGCGGUGGGAUGGCGUCCUAGUGCGCGGAGAAGCAGUUCGGAGACACUGGUAUCGUAUGAGAGGUUAUUGAGGGCAACGCUAGCCACUGUGCAGCGUCCCUAACUACAGCAGCAG